UGACUUGUGGCAGCCAAGCGUUCAUGGGGGAGUUGAUUUUUUGAUCCUUCGAUGUCGGCUCUUCCUAUCAUAUUGAAGCAGAUUUCAUUAAGCGUUGGAUUGUUCACCCACUAAUAGGGAACGUGAGCUGGGCUUAGACCGUCGUGAGACAGGUU
rnacentral:ncRNA from 1 species